UUUCCCCAUGCACGGAGGCGUCUAUUUCUAAAAGUUGUCACAACAAGACUGUUUCUCAGAUCAGUCAGAGAAUUGGGGUGCACAUUUUUUGAAAGAUCCAUCUGGACAACAAAAUAUUCACUUUAAGACUGCAGCGCCAUCUGUUCUAAUUUUCUAUAACUUUGCCGUCAAGUACACCUAUAGCGCCAUAUGUUGCCCCCUAGACGUCGGCCCAUAAUUAGUUAUAGUAGAAGGUUCUCUCUAGGUGACGGGAGUUUAAUGUUUAAUUAUAUGUCUGUUUUACCAGGAAAGAUAAAAUAAGGUAAAAAAUAUAAAAGUUCAGAGCUGAGAAUUUUCUUCCUCGACAUUGAAAAGGUGGUUUUAAACCGAAGUAGGUUGUUUUAAAAAUGCAUAAGUUACCAAAAAGAGUUCACUUAGUAGUACGUAAUUAAACACAGCUCGCAAUACCCGUGGCAACAUGCAAAUUGAUGAAGCUGAGUAGCUUCGACUAAGUGACACAUCAGUGGAGAAUUUAAUAAACUUUCUUUCUGAUGAUGGGGAGAUUUCGAAGAACUCAUUAUAGAAAAGCUGAGAUUGGCGGAACAUGUUUCCAAUGAGCCUAUCUUCAUAUAUGUAGGGGGAUGAAGUGUCCAGAAGAGGCCUAAUAAAGCACAGCACCAAAUUUCUGGGUGCUGCAAAAAAUUAGAAUGCUAGGAAAGUUUUCAUCUUGAAACUAUUCGGCACUGCAUCAACUACUUGGAAAACCUUACUGCAUGUUUGCAGUGGCAUGGAAAUGCCAGCAGUCGCGUCAAACUGCUUUUUUUCGAGACAAGAAUAUAUCAUUAUAAAUUUACACAAAUCAAUUCGAAAUAAAAAGAAUUCAUAAAAACAAGCUCUUCGAAUAUAAUAAUAAUUAAUUUAAAUAAGUACAAAUAGUUUGGCAAAUAGUUAGCAGCAUAGGAAAAAUUGUGACUUGAGGUCGGAACUCCACGCUUCUUCAAUGAAAGAAUUCAUAUUUUGCUUAGGUAAUAUAAUAGCUUCAUAAUGGCGAAAAUUGGCAACUUCGCGAUCUGUUUUAAAUUUAAAAAUUAUUUCACAAAUUCGAUUAAAUCCUUUGUUUUCACUUGCCUUUUUCAGCCGCUAACUUCUACUUUUACCAUAUUUAACACUUAAUUUUAAUUUAUUUUUUAAACCAUUUAAGUAAAUAAAAAACAACUUUGCUACCAUUUUAACUAAAAGGGAUUUGAUUUUUUCCACUUUCUUUACCACUCUUAAGGAUCAAAACUACAAUGUCACAAGUGAGCAAACCAUAAAUUGAAUCAUGGCGAAGCAGUUUUGCGUGUGUGUGUGUGUAUUUUUUUUUUUCAAAAGUAAACUACAAAAAAUUCCAGGAUGAAAAGAGAGAGAAUAGCGUUAUUGUUUUUUCAAUUCGCAAAUUAAGUAAAAAAAAUUGCAUUUUCAAAAAAAAUGUAUGUAUUAAAAAUACAAAUAAACGAAUUAAAAAUAUUUCAAUAUUUUCCGAUUUUUUUUUUACACAAAACGUUUUAUAAUUUAAUACGCUCAAUAUUCUCAUUAAUAUUUCACAUGUGGAAUAAGUAAAUAAAAGUUUUACUAAAAUGCAAGAAUUUAAUUUUUUUUUUUAAUUCUAGCAUUUUCUAUCAAAUUUUAAAAAUACCAAAUCAAAAAAUACCAUUAUUUAUACGGAGGUAUAGUAAUUAAAAAAACACCUCCAAACCAAGCGUUAUAGACUGCGUCACAAUCUUAAAUUUUUCAAUUAAACUUUGAUACAUUGUAUUAAAAAACAACUUAUACAUAUUUCAACUAAGAAUUUGUAGCAUCAAAAAUAACUGAACCGUUACUAUAUUACAAAAGCCCCGAAAAACCAGCCAUCAAGCAGUGUAUUUUUUUUGUAUGCUGAAAUGUAUGAGGAGGAGUUGAUUGCUAACAAAAUAUUAAACUAAACACAAUUUAUGUAUGUUUGCAUGUACGUGGAAUAAGUAAAACAAGUUUGCUAAUUAUUUUAUUUAGCUGAGAAGAAGCAGAAUUUUAUGCUAACUAAUUUUACAGAUAAUCGCCGCAAAUUCUAAGCGUUGAAAAUCAAGCAAGCAAGCAAAUGUAAUAAAGGAUACAACGGUUAUGUAUGAGAAAUGCUCUAUUUUAAGUAUAUUUUUUAACAAAAUAAAUUACCAAAAAAAAAAAACCGAAAUUAAAAUAAAUAAUAGAAUAAUCU